rnacentral:rRNA from 1 species
UACAGAGGGGGCGAGCGUUGUUCGGAAUUACUGGGCGUAAAGGGCGCGUAGGCGGCCCGCUAAGUCGAACGUGAAAUCCCCAGGCUCAACCUGGGAACUGCGUCCGAUACUGGCAGGCUUGAAUCCGGGAGAGGGAUGUGGAAUUCCAGGUGUAGCGGUGAAAUGCGUAGAUAUCUGGAGGAAUACCGGUGGCGAAGGCGGCAUCCUGGACCGGCAUUGACGCUGAGGAGCGAAAGCUAGGGGAGCAAACGGG